UACGUAGGGUGCAAGCGUUGUCCGGAAUUAUUGGGCGUAAAGAGCGCGUAGGCGGUCUGUUACGUCGGCUGUGAAAACCUGGGGCUCAACCCCGGGCCUGCAACCGAUACGGGCAGACUAGAAUUCGGGAGGGGAGAGUGGAAUUCCUGGUGUAGCGGUGGAAUGCGCAGAUAUCAGGAGGAACACCGGUGGCGAAAGCGGGUCUCUGGGCCGAGAUUGACGCUGAGGAGCGAAAGCGUGGGGAGCGAACAGG
rnacentral:rRNA from 1 species